rnacentral:rRNA from 1 species
AGAGCGAACGCUGGCGGCAGGCCUAAUACAUGCAAGUCGAACGGAUCCUUCGGGAUUAGUGGCGGACGGGUGAGUAACACGUGGGAACGUGCCCUUUGGUUCGGAACAACUCAGGGAAACUUGAGCUAAUACCGGAUAAGCCCUUUUGGGGAAAGAUUUAUCGCCAUUGGAGCGGCCCGCGUCUGAUUAGCUAGUUGGUGGGGUAAAGGCCCACCAAGGCUACGAUCAGUAGCUGGUCUGAGAGGAUGAUCAGCCACACUGGGACUGAGACACGGCCCAGACUCCUACGGGAGGCAGCAGUAGGGAAUCUUGCGCAAUGGGCGAAAGCCUGACGCAGCCAUGCCGCGUGAAUGAUGAAGGUCUUAGGAUUGUAAAAUUCUUUCAGCGGGGACGAUAAUGACGGUACCCGCAGAAGAGCCCGGCUAACUCGUGCCAGCAGCCGC